GUGCCCCUCUGUGCCCCACAGCUUCCUGCUGGACCGGCUGCUGCAGUACGAACAGGUGGAUGACGAUUCCUCAGAUUCCGACGCCACCGCCUCCUCAGACAGCGACGGGGAAACGCCAAAAGGGGCGGAGCCGCCUCCCCUUAAAAGGAAGCGCAGCCCCACGGGGGGUGGAGCCUCACCACCGCCCGCCCCCGGCCUGGCUCCGCCCACUUCCUACCUGAGCACGCUGGCCUCCCCCCCCAUACAGCCCCUUCCCAGCUGAUUACCUGGCCCCCCCCGAGCGGCCGCGCGGCCCCACGCGCCGCAAUAAAGGAUCCCGACGCCUGCAGGUACGCGCUCACCCUGCCC